UACGUAGGGUGCAAGCGUUGUCCGGAAUUAUUGGGCGUAAAGAGCUCGUAGGCGGUUUGUUGCGUCGGCUGUGAAAACCUGAGGCUCAACCUCAGGCCUGCAGUCGAUACGAGCAGACUAGAGUGUUGCAGGGGAGACUGGAAUUCCUGGUGUAGCGGUGAAAUGCGCAGAUAUCAGGAGGAACACCGGUGGCGAAGGCGGGUCUCUGGGCAACAACUGACGCUGAGGAGCGAAAGCGUAGGGAGCGAACAGG
rnacentral:rRNA from 1 species